GCAGCCUUAGAUUUCUUGUCCCUUGUAUACCAAAAUAAAUCCUCAUGAGAGGCAAAAUGGAUCGUCCUACUCCGGCGUAUAGUCACCCAAUUCCGGCCGAGCAGACCUCAGAGCCGAGCAGGUCAGACCUCGGUUCUGCCAAGAGCCAAGCCGACCUUGGACCCUGCCGAUGGCCGAGCCGACCUCAGCCAGAGGCUAGACCGACCUCAAAACCUCACCGAAGGCCGAGCCGACCUUGGCCAGAGGCCAGGCUAACCUCGGACCCCACUGAUAAUCGGGCCGACCUCGGCUCUAUCAACCUUAAUCCCGUUAGAGAUCCUGCGGAUCUCAUGUUCAGACGGCCAAGCGGCCAGAUCGUGCCAAGUGGCAGACCUAGAAGCUUCCUCAGUAGAUCUUCUUGAAUCGUGGUGUUAAAGGCCAGUCAUUAUGACGGCCGCCUCGGGGGACAAGGCAUUAAUGAUUGGCCCCUCGCAUACCACCAAGUAACGCCUCGAAGUGAGUGCGCACACAACGCAUUAAAGAGCUCCUUCGACCACUUUCACUUAGGAUGACGUGGCGGACCCUCAGAACAAAUCCGAAAAGAUAUUUUCAAAAUUCUCUACCCGCUGGAUUGAUCUCCGUGUUGUACGCCGCCUCCAAUUGAUGACUAGCUGAUCAUGAAUCGAUCCGAAAUUUUAGGUAACGACUAACACCCUCACCCUAUAAAAAGAAGGUAGGAAAAAACCUUCAAUAAGCUUUUGAUAAGCUAUUACAAAGCAUUACAAGCUAUGUUAAGCUAGAAGAGGCCAUCAAAGGCACUCAGAAAGCUCUCCUUUAAAAAGGCCCGACUAACUUAGCCAUCAGAGGGCCUUCGCCGGAAUCUCCAGCCAAAGCUGUGCAGGUGCACCGGAGUGCAGGAGGUGGCCCUUUUUCUCCAUCCCUGGCCGGCAUCUCCUCGACUUCUUCUGGCGUGGUCACCCUCAGGCCAAAUUUCAACCACAAUAUUUGGCACUAGAGGAAGGGCUAAGUCAUGAUCAUGAGGUUGACGAGUCGAGUAAUUUCUAAUGCAUCGAGACGUCGGGCACCAACUUCCGGCAAAUUGCUCCAAAGCCCACCCCAUGCGGCAUCGGCGAACUAAAUUUCUCAGGUCCUGCCAGAGCAAUUCAGUCUCCUCGUCCAGCAAGUCCAAACACUCAUCGCGGCCGUUCAAGGCCUGCAGCAGGCGGAGCCCAGCCUGCACCUCCUUCAUACGAGCGCAAGUCCAUAGGACGACGCUUGCAAUGUCAUUUUUCUACCAGGCAGCGCACGAUGGCUGAUGAAAAAGAGCGUCGCCACAACCGAAGCUUCCACCAAGCUCGAUCCCUAUGCCCAGAGGGCUUGUUGCGCGGCCAUCACCCUAAGAGCCUGUGCCGAAGUUUGAAGCCCCGAGCUCAGGAGCAACCAUCGAAGGUGGGGUCCAAUCCAUGCCGAGCUGCAACAGGAGCCCGAGCUUGACAGAAAAGUCAAGGAGUUGGAGCGGCAGAUCCAGGCGCUCCGAAACCAAGGCCCGAAGCGCGACGCCGAGCUCGAAUUGACAACUGAGUCUCCAUUUCCUUGAUGGAUCGUUGACGAGUUGAUCCCCCUGAGGUCCAAGAUGCCGCAUAUUGAGCCGUAUGAUGGCUUGUGCAACACCCUGGAUCAUUUGGAGAGCUACAAGCCCUCAUGAUACUCCAAGGAGCCACAUACGCCCUAUUCUGCAGGACCUUCUCGGCAACUCUCCGCAAGGCAGCUCGCCUUGGAUUACUUAUAAACAAUAGUGUAAAUGUUAGUAUUCAUGAUUUUUUGUUGUAUUUUUGACAAUAGACUAUAUUAUCUUUUGCUUAGCUAACCUCAUGGAUCAACUAUCAAAAUAUCUAUAUAUAUGUUAAUGUAUAUGUAGAUGCUAUGUGUAUACAUAUAUAAUAUGAUACUAAAAAAUCUUGUUCGUAAUUAUCUUCUUGUAUAAAAAGUUUUGUGACGCAUAUUUGAAUGGAGUUCGUAAUUUGCAGUUCAAGCUGUAUUUGAAUAGAAGGGACAAAAGUUGGAUAAAUAAGUCGAGAUUCCGUGAUGAAUAUUUGAAUGAAGUUCAGAAUUUUGUUAAAUUUGCUUUUGAAAAAUCUAAUAUGAAUGAAAGGAUUUUAUGUCCAUGUCGAAAAUGGGUAAAUGCUUCUUCUCUCGCUCCAAAAACUGUUGAAAAAUAUUUGGUGUGGAAUGGUUUUACGAGAGGAUAUACUGAAUGGGUAUUUUAUUGAGAGUUCAUAUUGUCAUCUCAAUGUAACCAACCUUCGUAUAUAGAAGACACCUCUAGUUUUGGAUACAGUAGCACGGAAAGAAAUCCUGUAGGAGAAGAUGAUAUAAGGGGUUUACUCAGAGAUGCUCUUGGACAUAAUAUUAGAAAUUUAAUAGAUUUUAGUGGAGGACAAGAAGCAACUGGAAUAGAUGAGUGAGGACAGGGGAGAGUGAUAUGCUUUAAUGGAUAUUUUUUUAUUUUUUUAUAAAUGGACGGGGGAGAGUGAGGACGACACGGGGUUCCUCUCGAGCAAGAAAUGUGUGGCAGCUUCGUGAGGAUGAGAAGAUCAUCGUCGGACGUAACGAACUAGGACAGCCCAUCAAGAAGGCUGGAAGCUUUUUAUCAAGUUUUCUAGGAUCGGUUGCACGUAGGGAUCAGUUGUGUCCGCUCAACUAUCAUAAGUGGAAUGAUAUACUUUUUUCAUAUAAAGUUAAACUUCUUAAAGUGGUAUAGAUAAAGAAUUGAAUUUAAUAUUGUUAAUUUGAUACCUAUUGUAUGUUAAUUUGCUUACUAUUAUAAUUUUAAUAUUUCAAUUUAAUAUUGUUAUAACAUUGUUUACUUUGGUAUAGAAAAAGUUUGUGCUCCCUCCAGAGAGCUAUGAUUGGGUGCUAAAGUCCCUCGUCCGCAAAUGAAAAAAAUAUAAGUCGAAGUUGAAGGCCGACUAGAAGCACGAGGUAUGACAGAGGAGGAGGUUGCUCGUGUUUGUCCUCCUGAUGUAUACCCUCAUCAGUGGAGGGAGCUCGUUCACUAUUAGUUUUUCGAGAGAUGACAGACAUAUUCUGACAUUGGUCGAGCUGCACGAGCAUCUCAGACAGUUCCUCAUACUUCAGGCUCGAAGAGUUAUGCGAGGCUUAGAGCUGAAUUCAUAAGUUUCUUUGAAACUCUCGUAUCAUAUAGCAUGUAUCAUGAUAUAUAGCACUUUCAAGAUACUUUUUGUUGUAGAUGAAAGAGCAUGAAAAGGAGCCUGGUGAGGUAGAGUUCUAUAAGAUGACUCACGCCCACCGAGAUGACAGCUUUAUCCGGGAGGAGUCGAGAGAUAUAGUUGUAUGUAUUCAUUAAUGAUUUGUGCAAUUAAUGAUUUUUAUGAGUUGUAAUUUUUCAAAAAUUAAUGUGAUUAUUUUUGAGAGAUAUAGGAAAGGGCUACAUCCCUUAUUUCAGAGCGUAUCGGGGAGUCAUCUUCAAUCGACAACACCAGAUGUAUUGAAGCUCAGGUGUUUACUGAAUUAAUGGGCUUAAAGCGUUAUGGUCGAAUGAGGGUUAUCGCGUUGGAGUUACCUCCACUCAGUUGUCUGCAGUGGGUAGAUAUACUCAAGAUGCCAGACAGAGUAGUAGCACUGUAGAGGUUAAUUAUCUGAAGGCAGAGAUAUAAGAGUUAAAGCAGAGCCAUUAGAUAGAGAUACAAUCUUUGAGGGCUCAAAUUGAUCAUAUUACAUCUUUGUUGCAUCAGUUUGUCCCUCCUCAGGUAAAUAACUACAUUUACUUGAAUAUUUUAUAUAAGUAUCAUU